AUCAAGUAUGAAAGACUCAGUUCCUAGGCAGUGGUGUUUAACCUUUAGGAGGCGGGGCUACUGCAAGGAAGUUAGGUCGUUGGGGGCGUGGCCUCCAAGGGGGUACUGGGACCCAGGCCCUUCCGUCUUGUUUGUUUCUCAGCUGCCAGGUAGUAAAUGGGUCUUCUCUCCCAUGCGCACCGACCGUGAUCUCCCGUGCUUCCUCAGGUGCAAACAACAGGGCCAAGUAACCUUGGAGUGAAGCCUCUGGAACCGCGAGGCACGGUAAGCCCUGCCUCCUUAAAAGCUGGUUAUCUCAGGCAAGUAUUUUUUUACAGCAGUGGAAAUCCAGCAUGAGGGCCACUCAGCUGUGGCUGGGCAGGAGGGAGGAAGCGUGGCCGUACAUCUGGGAGCAGAGAUGAGCAAGGCACGUGGUGGAAUAAGGAAGGGGGUGGCCGUGGCCAGAAGAGCGUGAAGAAUGGUAAGAAAUACUGGUAAGUGGGUGGAGUAUUACCUCGAAUGGCCUGGAAAUAAAGCAGGUCACUUUCCCUUGAUGUGGCAGGAAAAAGCUUGCUAUUCAGUUUUGAGGUGAAAGCAGCGUGAAGUAAGAUUGUGCUUAAAAGAACAACAAAUUCACCUUAGAACAAAGGGCGUCGGAUUCUAGGUGCCAUCCGGCAAGCUAUGAAAUAAAUACGGAUGUGGAAUAGUGCAAGCCCGGAGUUUGAUUGUGCUGGGUGAUAUGGACAAAAGAUGUUUUACAGAGGAAAAAAAUGGUAGGAGAUGAAUGGCUAGAUGUGGGAGUGAAACAGAAAAAUGAGUCAAUGGAAAACAUAAGCUUUAAGUCUUGAUGAUUGGACCCAAGAGGAGGAGAGGCCGCCUAGGACAGGUGGAGAGAGGUGAUAAUGGGCUUUGGUUAUUGGGGUCCAGGAGAUCCAUUUUUUUUGUCUUUUUAUCAGUACUGGGGAUGGAACUGAUGACCACACACUUGCAAGGCAGGCGCUUAUGCCGCUGAGCUAAAUCCCCAGCCCCAGGAUCCACUAUUUAAUUAUCUGCUCUCAGCUUGCUGUGUACAUAUAAGGUUAACCCCAGCAGGAGGACAGAGCAUGCAUUCUCCUCCAUGUAGUUAGUAAGGGAUGCCUAAGUAAGGGACCGCUCAAAGGCAGUGGUGAGUGUUGGGGUGUAGUUCUGUGCAGAGCAAGUGUUCAGCACGCCUGAGGCUCUGGGCUCCAUCCCUGGCAACAACGACAAAGAAAGAAAGCCAUCUAGCUUUGUAAUUGGCUUUAAAAUUUGGCAGAAAUUAUUUCUUAAGGUUCCUGAAUAUGAAACUUUGGAAUCGAAUCAGUCUUGCUAAGAAAAAUUCAGAAUAUUGGCAAUGGAGCAGGAACUCCUAAAAACUACACAUAAAAUCCACCAAGUGAAAAUAGGUCAAGACAAAAACAAACUGAGCAAUGUUUAUAACAUUAUUUGUGCCUAAUUAUCAUUUUAAGCAAACAAAACCUUUGUCUCUGUGACUGAGGGGCAGGUGCAUCAUGGACAAACAAAAGGGACCUUUUUGGUGCCAGCAGGAAUAGCUUCAAAUUACAACGCAGUAUUGCAGAAGUUAAACAUACCGAUAUUUUAGGAGAUGUUUUAUUUCAUACACAUUUCCAAAACAUUCAAAAUUAAUCUAUUUGUCUUCUGGGAGAUUAUAUCGGGGUGACAAUAUUAAUAGAGUGAUGUAUACUGGCCGUCUUUCUGAUUGUGUUCCUGAUAUUUUGCAGUUAUUAAAUAUUUGAAAUGAUCAGGUUUGCCCAUACUGAAAAGGAGCAGGUUAAAGCUUUUUUCUUAUCUAUAGAAAGAUUUUUUGCCCAAUAUCUGAAACAUCCAUUGGAACAAUGGGGUACAGAUAGGCUGAGCAUAAACCCAUAGUGUAUUCAAAUAAAUAACAACGUCCUGAGGCUCAUGUAGGGUCCAGCAAGAGCAAAGGAACUGAUCCCUCGUCUCUUUAGGACUCUCUGUAAAUUACUCUCCCCAGUUUCUCGGAGUUUGUGCUCUUUGAUUGUUUCUUCAUGUGUGAUAUUUUCGGGAUGGUGGGAAAAUUUUUAUUCAUCUUUUGUCAUUGUGCUUCAUCCAUGAAAAUGCUGAAUAAUGUAGGCAAUAAAUAGAAAUCUUCCUCAGAUAACUCAGAGCCUUCUUAUAAAGCUGUGCGUAUACCUCAGGGGCUGAUUUUGGAAAGUUAUUUCUGAGCUUCAUAGUUGAGAUCUUGCUAUCUGCUAUGUGCUAUUUUUAUUUUCUGAGUUGUAGCAUUGUUCUUGGAUGAAGCUUUAGAGGAGAUUAAUCAGAUGCAAGAUUCCUGCAAACAGCUGGGAUAAGCCUUAAACAACUUACGGUAAGUACUUAACUUUGAAACUGUUCCUUGAAAACAGGUGCACAGAAGUCACAACAGCCUUCCAUACUGCUGUCAUGAAAUAUAAACUAGUGACAUUCAUGAAUAAAUAAAUAAAAUUGAUCUUUAACCAGUCCUUUUACAUUUUGACACAUAUUUUAUUUUAUUGUCAGUGUUUUUUUUUUUAAGUUUUAGUAUGUUUGCUGUACAUAAUUGUACUGAUCUUGGUGGAUUAGUAUAUACAUACAUCUUGAUCAUUUUUAGACUUUCUUUCCUUUCCCCACCCCUUUCUUCCUGACUGAAUGCUGAAGAAUACAAGUGACAAAAGAUGCUGGCCUUCCGAUGCCAGAGGAAACUCAGAGAUGAGUGCUCAGGCCCUCCUCAUUCCCCCAACCCCUGGAGAGUCUUCUAAAGGUUUAUAUCCAGUAGUAUCAAUGUUUUCUCUAGUUCUGCUGUUGUUUUUCUUGAUUUUUCAGGGAAAGAAAAAAUUUAAAAGUUUUUAUUAAGCAAAAAGAUAUCCAUGAUGAAUUUUCAAAGGAAGAUAUUUAAAAGACUCAAAUGGGAAGGAGGUUGCUGGACUCAAUUUUCAAGAAACAAAAAUGCAGUUAAGGGCCUGUAUCAGCACCCAGAGCUUGGCCCAUUCAGCGGACCAGGUUUGAGGAAAUGCACCAACUGGGAGCAUCUCUUCAGACAGCCUGACCACGACGGCCUUCCACUGCCCCGCCAGUUGCCCUGACCUCCAGCUGGAGCCUUAGCACAUGCAUACAGCUUGCUCACAGAUGAAAGUGACCGUUAAUGAUAACAGAGGGCCGGCCAUGCUGUUGGUCACAGUGAAGGCCGCCUUAGAACAGCAGCACAGCAGCCAGAGUGACACUCCCUGACCACAAGGCAUGGGAGGUGGGGGGAGGCCCAUGCUGGCAGCUGGUGAGGUGGGAGCCCCGGAGGGCCCCAAACCCUGGAGCUCCAGAUCUCAGGUGGGGAAAUCUUUGAAGCUCUCAGCCCAGCAGCCUGGUCUCCUGGAAAACACCCCUGGUUUCUCACUGACUGGUUUUGAGUUUCUCAUAUAAGAGAAAUCAUGCAAUAUUUAAGUCUGUGUCUGAUUUAUUUCACUUAAUAUUGUGAUCUGAAGGUGCAUCCAUCUUCUUGCAAAUGACUCAGAUUUAUUCUUUGUAGCAAAGUAGGACUCCAUUGUGCAUAAACACUGCUUUUUCUUUA